UGGGGCUCAAGGCGGACUCGCCACCGCCGCACACCACCACUCUCCUCCCGCCGGACUCGCCUCGCCUCCGCUCCGCCAGAGAUCUCGUUGCCCCUUCUACGUGGAUGUCUUUGGGGUGGCAUUGGACACAACAACAAGUACUGAGCAGAGAUCACUACAAUGCAAUGGGUCACUGUAGUACAAAUAUUGUCAGUUCACUUUAUCUUGGUUGAGGUGCAUGGUGGCCAGCGACAAGCUCACUGAGCAGGGAUGGUCUGCGAGCAGGAGCACGGAGCGCCGACAUGUGAUGAUUGGGGUUCACCCAAACCCACAGGUGGAUAGUUGGGAUACUGCUGGGGCGAUGUUGCUGCUCCAGCUAGUCUUGCGAUGGAUGUUUUCUGUAUGAUAUGAAUCUGUUGUCAGUGUCUUUCUUGUAUAUAUAUCUGAUUUGUGGAAAUAUUGUAAUAUAUUCAGUUACUGCUCUUA